GAUGAACGCUGGCGGCGUGCCUAAUACAUGCAAGUCGAGCGAACAGACGAGGAGCUUGCUCCUCUGACGUUAGCGGCGGACGGGUGAGUAACACGUGGAUAACCUACCUAUAAGACUGGGAUAACUUCGGGAAACCGGAGCUAAUACCGGAUAAUAUAUUGAACCGCAUGGUUCAAUAGUGAAAGACGGUUUUGCUGUCACUUAUAGAUGGAUCCGCGCCGCAUUAGCUAGUUGGUAAGGCAACGGCUUACCAAGGCAACGAUGCGUAGCCGACCUGAGAAGGUGAUCGGCCACACUGGAACUGAGACACGGUCCAGACUCCUACGGGAGGCAGCAGUAGGGAAUCUUCCGCAAUGGGCGAAAGCCUGACGGAGCAACGCCGCGUGAGUGAUGAAGGUCUUCGGAUCGUAAAACUCUGUUAUUAGGGAAGAACAAAUGUGUAAGUAACUAUGCACGUCUUGACGGUACCUAAUCAGAAAGCCACGGCUAACUACGUG
rnacentral:rRNA from 1 species